CCUACGGGUGGCAGCAGUGAGGAAUAUUGGUCAAUGGACGAGAGUCUGAACCAGCCAAGUAGCGUGAAGGAUGACUGCCCUAUGGGUUGUAAACUUCUUUUAUAUGGGAAUAAAAUGUUCCACGUGUGGGAUUUUGUAUGUACCAUAUGAAUAAGGAUCGGCUAACUCCGUGCCAGCAGCCGCGGUAAUACGGAGGAUCCGAGCGUUAUCCGGAUUUAUUGGGUUUAAAGGGAGCGUAGGUGGAUUGUUAAGUCAGUUGUGAAAGUUUGCGGCUCAACCGUAAAAUUGCAGUUGAAACUGGCAGUCUUGAGUACAGUAGAGGUGGGCGGAAUUCGUGGUGUAGCGGUGAAAUGCUUAGAUAUCACGAAGAACUCCGAUUGCGAAGGCAGUUCACUGGACUGACACUGACACUGAGGCUCGAAAGUGUGGGUAUCAAACAGGAUUAGAUACCCGAGUAGUC
rnacentral:rRNA from 1 species